GAACGCUCCGGCUCGCUAGCCUGACUGACCCGGGAAAGGCCCUCAACCCAGGUGUCUGGGGUCCGCGAUGCCAAGACCCUGCGAUUCCACCGCCCCCCCUUGUCGUACUUUUCCUUUACCAGCCUGCGUUGUCCUUUAAAGUGGUUGCCGAGUGUGUUCUCAACACACAGUAAUCCAACGGCGACUGAAGGAGUAGCGUGGUAGGCCAGUGGCGCAAGGGAUAACGUGUCUGACCACGCAUCAGAAGAUUGUAGGUCCAGCUCCUGCCUGGCUCGGCAUUAUUGUCACUUGAGGUUAACAAACCAGAAAUCAUUACCUCCUCUGGCGUCCCCAAACCGCGAAUGCCAGCAGUUUGGAUUUCUGCAGUGUCCGUUGCACUUUGAGCCCGGGAGGCCUUACCAGCGCCACCGGUCCAACUCCCGCGGGGUGAAGGGAAGGCCCCGAGGGUCUCGGAACGCCCCCGGCAGGCAAGCCGGGUUAGGAAGACGCCACUGAAGCCCGGGGUUCUGUAGACAGAGCUGGUUCCACCGCAUCUACUAAGACAUCAGAGUCACUAAGUUCCUAGAGAAAGUCCCCUCACCAACCCCCGGCUAAGCAAAGAGAGGGAAGAAGAUCACAUAGAAUGUCUUUUUGAUCUGGUUCCUAUUUUAUGUUUAAUUUUAAAAAGUUAUUCAAUCCCAGAUAGGCUUAUAAUCCUGCUUCGUCGGCCUAUUUUUGUAAGGUCAUAGCGUUUAUAAAUUGUUAAGGUUUGCUGCCAUAUUCCCACUCAGUUGUUAGCGUAGCGUAAAAACCAUCCAACGACCUGGGUUUUGCCCUUAGAGAUCUUUUAACCAAGAAGGCAUCAUGUUGGUUUGGGCAAACUGAGUUUCUAUUUUAAUGUUAUUAUAGUAAUAUUUGUGGAAGGGAGAUUGGAAUUAUUUCUUAAAUCUCCCCUGUAAGAUAGCAGUUCCCAAAAGUAAAAGCUUUAAUAAAAUGUAAAAUUAGGGAAGAUAAAAUACGAAGUUAGAGAAAAGAAAAGGGCUGGAUUUUUAAGUGGGAAAGCGGCUUCCUUAAGACUGCACAAACAUGAGAUUAUUUUUGUUUCCUGGUGAACAUUUUGCCAUUUUUGCAUGUAACAAGCCGACGUAUCUUUAAAGUUAUACAGCAUUUCUGAGAGUUUGAGAAAAUGACCUCUGAGAGGUGGGGGAGGUGAGUUGUACCCCUCUGGCUCAAGUUUGUGGACAGAACCAUGAAAAUCAGGCUAAGAGAAAAGUGCCUCCUUUUAGUCCUACCUUCUCCUUAUUUUACAAAGGUGGCGAGCAGGGUGUUUAUUAAAUUA
rnacentral:lncRNA from 10 species